ensembl:lncRNA LINC01141 long intergenic non-protein coding RNA 1141
AGCCUCAGGGAGCUCUAGUGGAGAGACAAGAUUCGUGCAUGAAAUAAUUACGACUGUUGUAGAAAAAAGAAAAGCCUGUAGGUCUCCCUUCCUCCCUCCUUCUCUCUGUCUACCUCAGCAUUUCUGGGGUUCACUCUGCUCUGGGUACUGUGUAAAGGACUCCACAGCCAUCAACUUCCCUUCAUCCUUGCCGUGUCUUUGAAAGAGCUGAGAUUUCUUUACAUCACAGUGGUUCAAGGAGAAAAACACAGCCAGAUCCUUCCUCAUCUCAACAUAAAUUAAACCCAGAGGCAGUCAGCGCCACAGUCCACACUCGUAACCGUUACACUCACCUGGAAAUAAAAGUAUUUUUGUGCGGGGACUGCAAGGACUAAGCCCGGCCGCACUCCGAGUUUCUCCUCCUCACAGACUGGAUGAUGAGAGGCACAGCUGAGUCCGGAGCAGACUGAGCCACCUAAGAGGGGAGGAACCGCUGCAGAGAAACCGUGUUAAGCCUUUUUGAAGUUCCAGAGGGAGAACAAGAGAGCGGAGGCUCCUGGUGGCUGGUGACAGCUGCUCUUGGCUGGGAGAGCAGAGAACAGGGGACAGGAGAGAAGCCCCGAGAGUACUGAAGCUGAGGCUGGGGCGGUCUUCACUUCCCUCUUUCCUCGGCCCUUUUCCUGUUCUCUUGUCUUGUCUCUCUUUCUCUACUUUCCUUCUCCCUAGCCCAGUCUCUCACCGCUCUUCAGCCUCUGGGCCUUUCCUUCUUCCUCUCUUGCCCUCAUUCUUCCUUCUCUGUCCCUCUUGUCUUCUCUUUUACCUCUUCUCUUCUUCCCUCCUUCCUACAGCUAUGCCCUCUUCCCUCCUUUCUCUUGUCCCCAACCAGGGCAUUAGAAAUGCAUUCCAGUUACACUGAUCUGAUCACUGCAUAUUGUAUGCAUGCAUCAAAAUAUCACAUGUACCCCAGAAAUAUGUAAAUUACUGCAUAUCAAUAAAAAGAAA